UUGCGAAACCUUUACAAUGCGCGAAAGCGUGAUAGGGGAACUCUGAGUGGCGUAGGGACACUGUCCCUCGUCUUUUGCCAAGUCUAGAUAGCUUGGAGAAUAAGUGCUGGGCAAGACCAGUGCCAGCCGCCGCGGUAAUACUGGCAGCACAAGUGGUACCCACGAAUAUUGGGUCUAAAGAGACCGUAGCCUGUCCUUUAAGUCUUCUGUGAAAUCUUGGAGCUUAACUUCAAGGCGUGCAGAGGAUACUGCUGGACUUGAGAGUGGGGGAGGUCAAGAGUACUUAUGGGGUAGGGGUAAAAUCCUGUAAUCCUAUAAGGACUCCCAGUGGCGAAGGCGCUUGACCAAAACACGUCUGACGGUGAGGGUCGAAGGCUAGGAGAACGAAUCGG
rnacentral:rRNA from 1 species